UACAGGACGAACGCUGGCGGCGUGCCUAACACAUGCAAGUCGAACGAGGUCCAAGGAAGCUUGCUUCCUGAAGACCUAGUGGCGAACGGGUGAGUAACACGUGAGAAACCUGCCUCGGAGUGGGGAAUAACUCGGGGAAACUCGAGCUAAUACCGCAUACCUUCACAUGAUCGCAUGGUCGAGUGAAGAAAGAAUUUCGCUCUGAGAGGGUCUCGCGGCCUAUCAGCUUGUUGGUGGGGUAACGGCCUACCAAGGCAACGACGGGUAGCUGGUUUGAGAGAACGAUCAGCCACACUGGGACUGAGACACGGCCCAGACUCCUACGGGAGGCAGCAGUGGGGAAUCUUGCGCAAUGGGGCGAAAGCCUGACGCAGCAACGCCGCGUGCGGGAUGACGGCCUUCGUGGUUGUAAACCGCUUUCGGCAGGGACGAAAAUGACGGUACCUGCAGAAGAAGCCCCGGCUAACUACGUG
rnacentral:rRNA from 1 species